CGCAGCGGCACUGCCGGAGGACGAGCGGAGCGAGCCGCGCUGCGUGCUGCUGUCCUCUCCAGACUGAGGCUGCCAGGAAGGAACCGCGGACCAUACAAGGAUGGCAGCCCGCCUGCCUCACGCACCGCCCGCACAGUCAUUUUAAGAGAUGAAGGGACAGUCCUGACACCAUCCCCUGUGACUGUUUUCUCCAGCUGCAGCUCACCAGCUCCACCUCCCUCAGCUCAGCAGGGGCCUGGGCUCCUCCACCUCCACUGCCCACCUCAGUGGAACCAUCUGCAAGCACCUGAAAUCUUCAUCACCUAACUGGAAAUAUGCUAUGUGCCAUACUCCUUCAAAACCUCCACCAUCACACCACUCCCCCCAGAAAAACUCAGGCCCACAGGACUAAGUAACAACAGCUCUAUUGUCUUGACCUCUGUGUUAUGAAGUUGUUUGAGCCCCUUGUUGAACAUGAGAACCACUGAGUUGUAGGACUCUGGGGGGUCUGCCAGAGCACUGCUUAAUUCCAAGAGGGACUUUCAGGAGUAUAAACACAGGCAUACAUUACACACAGGAAAAUUAUUAGGUCAUAGAUAAUAAAAGGAAAGAUUUUUCAACUAGAUUCUAUUCAUGUUUGCUUCUUUGUCUGUUAAGAGCCCAGGGUUUUUAUGAUCUCGUUCCUGUUUUAUUUUGAAAUUUUACCCUCAUGUGUCUCAUCUUGCUUGUUGGCUCCUUCUGUGAGUUUUUCCCUCCCGAUGUUUUUCCGUUCCUUCAUUUACCUGGCUGUUUCCCUCCACUCUCCACCUGUUCCUCAUCCCUCAUUAGGUUUGUCGGUGCUUUGUUCUCCGUCUUGUUUUUGUCAGUGCGUUAUGUCUGUCUUCAUGUCACUGCAUCUUGGUCCAUCAUCCUCUGUCUUUGUCUUCCUCGGCACGUGUUGUUCAUGUUGCUCGGCCUUCGUUUCGUGUUCUGCCGUCAUCACGGCAUCAUCAUGUGUCUACCUGUUCGCUACUCUGACACACUGAUUUGCACUUUGCUUUAGUUUUGCACUUUGUGUAGCUCUUAGUUGCUACUUUUCUCUGUUGUCCCUAGUGACUCAUUGUUUGGUUUCCUUGGUCUCUUGUUUUUGUAGUUCAGCUUGGUUAAUAGAGCUUGCUUUUUGUUCCCCUA